UAGAUAGAUAGAUAUACAAUGGAAUAUUACUUAGCCAUCAAAAAAUGAAAUCUUGCCAUUUGCAAUGACAUGGAUAGAGCUAGAGUGUAUUAUGCUAAAUGAAGUAAGUCAGUCUGAGAUAGACAAAUACCAUAUGAUUUCACUCAUAUGUGGGAUUUAACAAACAAAACAGAUGAACAUAUGGGAAGAAGGGGAAAAAAAAGAGGUAAAAAAAUAAGACACUCAUAAAAAUAGAAAACAAACUGAGGGGUUGUUGGAGGAAGUAGGGAGGAGAAUGGGCCAGAUGAGUGAUGGGUACUAAGGAGGGCACUUGUUAUGAUGAGCACUGGUUGUUUAUGUAAGUGGUGAAUCACUGAAUUCUACUCCUGAAACCAAUAUUGCACUGUAGGUUAACAUAAAUAAAUAAAUAAAUAAAUAAAUAAAUAAAUAAAUAAAGCAAUGAACAGUGACAAAAAACCACAAGGGUUCUAGUGUGAUAGAAGCCAGCAUUUCGCAUAGGAGGAGCUGGUAAAUUAGAGCAAACACUAUAAAGAUGUGAAAAUAAUAAACAUCAAAAAAUGGCUUUUAGGUUUAUUAGUGAUCUAUUUGCUUUUAAAAUAUAAUAUAUAUAAAUAAAUACUUUAUUUUAAUAUUAUUACUAUUUUAAUAUUUUUAUAUUUUUGAAUAAAGCAUUAAUAUAUAUUAAUGAUAUAUAAUGUAACUUAUAUAUUUAAUUUUAUAAAUUAAAUUUUAUAAAUGUUUAAAAAAUGUAUCACUGAAGUUUUGCCUUUCAUAUGAAUUGCAGAAUGUUCCCAAGAAAAUAAUCAAGUGUCUAACCUUAUUUUGCUUCUUAGGAAAAAAAAUGUAUUUUGAAGGCAAAGAUAGAAAAUAUUCCAGAGAACACAUCCAUCUGGAAGAUUUUCCCAGAACUCUUCAGAUCAGCCUGGAUCCAAUUUUCAUAACUCAUCCACACAGUGGAUGGUGGGCAUUUAUAUUAUGUCUCCUUAGAAGCAGACAUCGUCCUACACAAUCAUCUAGAGCUUCUUGCAGCCUUGAAAGAUUCACUAUAACACAGCUCCAUCUUCACUAGAACAAAGCUGCAACUUGGUCCUUCAGUGGAAAAGCUGGACCUUUGAAAGAUAAGAUAUGAGAAUCUGGGCAGCCAGAAAGCAGCCAGGAAAAGGAGAAAGGGAUCCUAGGAAGGAAUGACACCUCUGAAUAUGCAUCUGUGUGGCAUAUUGCUUUCAGGUACUCACACGGGUGCCCCACCGAGGGAAAUCCAAUGCAAGGGAUGACAACGGAAGCUCUUCACAAUGGUUUGAAGCUUAUUUAUGCUGGAAGAAGAAAUGAGAAAUCAGUUGAGUAAAAGAGGGUUAAUUAAAAGUAAAAUUUGGGGGCGUCUGGGUGGCUCAGUCAGUUGAGCCUCUGACUCUUGAUUUCAGCUCCGGUCAAGAUUUCACGGUUGGUGAGCUCGAGCCCCAGGGAUGUGCUCUGCACUGACAGCACGGGCACCUGCUUGGGAUUCCCUCUCUCUUCCUCUCUCUCUGCCCUUCCCUCACUCAUGCUUGGGCACUCUCUUACUCACACUCUCUCUCUCUCUCUUUCAAAAUAAAUAAAUAAGCAUAUAAAAAUAAAUAAGUAAUAAAAUUAAAAUAUCUUGAAAGUCAAGAUAUUUCCCAUUUCAUUGUUUUCAUGGUUGGCCCCUCACUUCCCACAGUGCUAGACCCUAUAAAUACAUUUAGUUUUAAGUAUGGCUCUAUUUCUGCCAUAUAUCAAAAGACUUCUUGACCUAUCUACUCCCAAUUCCCAGAUUAUUCCAAAUACUUCAGAGAAUAAUCACUUGUCUCAUAAACUGCCAUUUUUUAACCACAGUUAUUUUGACAUAUUCAUAGCCAAAAUGCUAUUCCCAUCCCCUCAUAUACUAACAAAAAUGUCUUCAGCUCAUGAGGAUCAACAAAAUAGAGAUGUGUGGGAAAAAGAGUAUAAAGUUUAGUUACAUUAUUUUUUCUUUUGACAGAAAAAUGUGGCAAGUAGGAAUGUCCAUUGAACAAUUACAUAUUUCAUUUUGCAGCCUUAUCACAACAUAAAGUUAUGUGGGGAUUUUGUAGCUUCCCAUCAAUUAUAAAAUACCAGAGCACUAGUAAGUUGACUACAUGGUGCAAUUAUUGGCCUAAUAAAUCCAACAAAUUUGUUCUUACAUACCAAGAAGACAUAUCUCCAAAAAUGUAUGUGUGUAUAUAUAUUUCAUCCAAAAAAGAUACAUUUGAGGCCAUUCCAUAAUUUCACUUUAUAAGAGUCUAAAGACCCGAAGAUAAAUCAGUUAUAAUUACUGGUUCAUCUUUAAAAAUAGUAUAUUUGCAGUAAAUUGAAUUUCCCACCAAACAUUUCAAAUUUCCCAAUUCCCACAUAGAAAGAUAAUGCAGUCACCAUAAUGUGUCAAAUAUUGUACUGAACAUUUAAAAGCUAAUAAACAUAGCUUUUAAAAUAAUGUUGCUGAAAAGAAAUUAAUUUCUAGUUUAGUUCAGUAAAUAAAAGAAAUAUCUAUUUGAGAUUCACUUAUAAAAACCGACCCCAAGAUAUAAUUCUGAAGCUUAAGAAUUACUGUUCCCGAUUUUAUAACAACAUGAAGGCAACUCAUCACAUUACAACUCAUACUGUCUUAAUAAUAACUUAUUGAAUUUCACCAUUUGUAUUGAACUCUUCCAUAAUUCUAUGACAUUUAUUUGGUCAAGUUAUUAACUGAAAUAAAAAUUUACAAACAGAGCUAUUGUGUGAUAGAGUAUGUUUCUCAAGAUGGUCAAUUGCCUGCUUGGGGCGUGACCUUGCCUUUCUCCCAUCAAGGGGGAUGUCUAUUUACUCUUGAACCCGAGUGGACAAUGUAAUGGUUCUGACCAAUAAAAUGAGGUAAAAAUGACAUUCUGAGAACUCCAAAUCCAAGUCUGAAAAGUACUGGCAGCUUCCGAUCCCAGCCUCAUGGUGCACUCAGCGUUAGGAUACUCCCUCUUGGAACUCAGCUGCCACGCUGUGAGAAGACUAAGUCACAUGGAGAGGCCAUGUGUUGGCAUUUUUAUUAUCAGCCCCAGCUGAGCUCCCUGCUGAUGGCCAGCAGCAUUUGCCAGCAUGUGAGUGAGCCAUCUGAACAUCCAGCCCUAUACAGCCUUCAGAGACGCCAGCCCCAGCUUCAAACUGACUGAAAACCAGGAGACACCAAAUGAGAACCACCCAGUCUCCAUUUCACAAAGGACAAGUGGCCACAACUGUGCUUUUCUGUGUCAUGCAAGGGCACAGGAAUUUCCCUUAUAUCUGUCAACCAAAGUUGGCAGUUGGAGGAGAAUUCUCUCAAUGGAUUAAAUAAUCCUAGUUGCCACAGUUUCUCAUUAUUGCAUCCAUGAGUCCUGCUUUACCUUCAAACACAGUUUGGCCUUCAUUGGCCCUCUUAAUUACAUAUUUGAAGACAGGCGACACUGAAGUUGGGACUCACUUAGCUAAUGAGUUUGGACCAAAUCAUGGCCCAGGAUGCAGUAGUAAACCAGGGCUGUCGCUGUGGGCACUGGAAAGAGCGAUGAUCCCUCAGUAAGAAACUGGAACUAUACCUUUGAAAAUUUAUGUCAGGAGGCGCCUGGGUGGCUCAGUCGGUUGGGCGUCCAACUUCGGCUCAGGUCAUGAUCUGGUGGCCUGUGAGUUCGAGCCCCUCGUCAGGCUCUGUGCUAACGGCUCAGAGCCUGGAGCCUGCUUCGGAUUCUGUGUCUCCCUCUCUCUCCUACCCUCCCCCGUUCAUGCUCUGUCUC